AUUGAACGCUGGCGGCAUGCUUUACACAUGCAAGUCGAACGGUAGCAGGCCGCAAGGUGCUGACGAGUGGCGAACGGGUGAGUAAUGCAUCGGAACGUGCCCAGUCGUGGGGGAUAACGCAGCGAAAGCUGCGCUAAUACCGCAUACGAUCUAUGGAUGAAAGCGGGGGACCGUAAGGCCUCGCGCGAUUGGAGCGGCCGAUGUCAGAUUAGGUAGUUGGGGGGGGAAAGGCUCACCAAGCCGACGAUCUGUAGCUGGUCCGAGAGGACGACCAGCCACACUGGGACUGAGACACGGCCCAGACUCCGACGGGAGGCAGCAGUGGGGAAUUUUGGACGAUGGGGGCAACCCUGAUCCAGCAAUGCCGCGUGCAGGAAGAAGGCCUUCGGGUUGUAAACUGCUUUUGUACGGAACGAAACGGCUCUGGUUAAUACCUGGGGCUAAUGACGGUACCGUAAGAAUAAGCACCGGCUAACUACGUGCCAGCCGCCGCCGUAACAC
rnacentral:rRNA from 1 species